GGAUUUCCUAGCUAGUGAGGAGGAGCCCUAGAGUGAAAUCCAGGCUUUUCUAUGCACUCCUGGGGGACCUGACUCAAGUCCAGGCUCCUUUCCCUCAGUUCUGUUUUCAAAGUGUUGAGAAGGAAACAGCUCAAGGUAAUGAUGUUAGAAAAAUAACCGUCUGAGGUCUGUGAUACACAGCAGUGGUAUGAUCUCUCUGAGUGAAUUGACCACCUUGCCUUCCCUGCUGUUGAUCCUCCAGGGGAGAAGAAAUACAACCAAAGCGUAAUUUGGUGGGGCUUUUGUAAGCUCGUAAAUCACAUUUAGUAAAUGUGCAUCUUGGCUCCCUCACAUACAUACAAGUGAGCGUGAGCAAUUUCUUUGGCAUUUUCGAGCCGCAGUUUCCUCAUAUUUAUUAUAAGAAUGAUACCAUGGAAUGGUGCAAAUAGAAAACAUGUAACACGCUGCUUAAUAGGUACUCGCUCUGAGCCGUCUAACCCCUCUGGCUGCAAACACGCUUCAGUCCACCAGGGGGUGGUGAUGUGCCGGGGUUGGGGGCGCUGUGGAGAGCCCAGUGGCGACAUGACCGCGCAUGCGCGUCCCCGGCGGGAAGGGCGGGGUCACCACAUCUUGGUGGAUUGGCCAGCAGCCUGGGCAGGUGAUGGAGCAGCGGUGGGCAGCAGCUGGAGAGCACGGAUACCUCUGGCCAAAGCUACAGCAAACGAAGGAUUCUUUUUACAACUAUCUUGCAUAUAAAAUUCGGGAGCACU